UCUGAGCAUCUCCCGAGGAUACAAAGUGCCUUGGGCAUUGUUUAGUUGGGAAAAUCCUCCGCUGGAUUGUGUUGCCAUGGAAUUGACAGUGUGUGUGAGAUAAAGCAAACACCACAGAGACACCAGGACAUCUUGACAAGAGGCCAGACGCUGUGUCCCCAGUGACUGUCCACUGACAAUUGACUUUUCAGGAGGAGAUGUGUUUAGCACAGCUUACAAUUGAUGUGCUAAAAUAUUGAUAGAGGACAUUUUAUGGGAUGGGGAGGGGAUGCUGGGAUUGACCCCAACAUAUUGAUGACUGUACAUUGUUCAGGCUUCAUCACACUUCCUGGUAAGAGGGAGAGUUUAGAUGCGCCCCAGCUUGCGAAGGCCCCGGGUCCUUUAUGGUGCCAUGAGCUAAUUGUGUACAUUAUCACACCUUGCUGGCCCCGUGUCCACUCGCCGGCCAGCCAAACAAGCCGGGACGCCUUUCCACGCCAUUUAUUGCCAGCAGGUGAAAUAUGGACCACCUGCCACCGCCUGAGAAUGAUGGAACACGUCUUUCUUGAUGUGAUUUUACUUCACCUGAUAAUUAUAUUCACUUUUGAUUGACACUGUAUCAUCUGCUAAGAUAUCCUAGUCAGUUUACUGUUUGUUUUGAUAUAUAG